UAGCGGAGAGAGGUAGCUUGCUCCCGAUCUUAGCGGCGGACGGGUGAGUAAUGCUUAGGAAUCUGCCUAUUAGUGGGGGACGACAUUUCUAAAGGAAUGCUAAUACCGCACACGUCCUACGGGAGAAAGCAGGGGAUCUUCGGACCUUGCGCUAAUAGAUGAGCCUAAGUCGGAUUACCUAGUUGGUGGGGUAAAGGCCUACCAAGGCGACGAUCUGUAGCGGGUCUGAGAGGAUGAUCCGCCACACUGGGACUGAGACACGGCCCAGACUCCUACGGGAGGCAGCAGUGGGGAAUAUUGGACAAUGGGCGCAAGCCUGAUCCAGCCAUGCCGCGUGUGUGAAGAAGGCCUUAUGGUUGUAAAGCACUUUAAGCGAGGAGGAGGCUACUUUAGUUAAUACCUAGAGAUAGUGGACGUUACUCGCAGAAUAAGCACCGGCUAACUCUGUGCCAGCAGCCGCGGUAAUACAGAGGGUGCAAGCGUUAAUCGGAUUUACUGGGCGUAAAGCGCGCGUAGGCGGCUAAUUAAGUCAAAUGUGAAAUCCCCGAGCUUAACUUGGGAAUUGCAUUCGAUACUGGUUAUCUAGAGUGUGGGAGAGGAUGGUAGAAUUCCAAGUGUAGCGGUGAAAUGCGUACAGAUCUGGAGGAAUACCGAUGGCGAAGGCAGCCAUCUGGCCUAACACUGACGCUGAGGUGCGAAAGCAUGGGGAGCAAACAGGAUUAAUACC
rnacentral:rRNA from 1 species